UGCAGCCAUGUGUUUGUAUUCUCUUCGUAGUCUGCACUCUAAAAUGGCUGCUGAUAGUAAAUGUGUAGCUCAUGGGCCUCUGUUCUGACUAGUAAACAGGGAGGAUAAUAAAAUGCUACAAACAAUG